rnacentral:rRNA from 1 species
AGGGAAGUGGGGCGCUCCUCCACAUGCGAGUCGAACGAUGAAGCCUAGCUUGCUAGGUGGAUUAGUGGCGCACGGGUGAGUAAUAUAUAGAUAACGUGCCUCUUAGUCUGGGAUAGCCAUUGGAAACGAUGAUUAAUACUAGAUACUCCUUCUAACUCUAAUGUUAGUUGGGAAAGUUUUUCGCUAAGAGAUCGGUCUAUAUCCCAUCAGCUAGUUGGUAGUGUAAGAGACUACCAAGGCAAUGACGGGUAGCGGGUUUGAGAGGAUGAUCCGCCACACUGGUACUGAGACACGGACCAGACUCCUACGGGAGGCAGCAGUGAGGAAUAUUGCACAAUGGAGGAAACUCUGAUGCAGCAACGCCGCGUGGAGGAUGACGCAUUUCGGUGUGUAAACUCCUUUUAUAUGUCAAGAAAAUGACGGUAGCAUAUGAAUAAGCACCGGCUAACUCCGUGCCAGCAGCCGCGGUAAUACGGAGGGUGCAAGCGUUAUUCGGAA